rnacentral:rRNA from 1 species
UCGGGAAUUUUGGGCAAUGGGCGAAAGCCUGACCCAGCAACGCCGCGUGAGGGAUGAAGUAUUUCGGUAUGUAAACCUCGAAAGAAUGGGAAGAAUAAAUGACGGUACCAUUUAUAAGCUCCGGCUAACUACGUGCCAGCAGCCGCGGUAAUACGUAGGGAGCAAGCGUGGUUCGGAUUUACUGGGCGUAAAGGGCGCGUAGGCGGCGCGGUAAGUCACUUGUGAAAUCCCUGAGCUUAACUCAGAACGGCCAAGUGAUACUGCUGUGCUAGAGUGCGGAAGAGGCAACCGGAAUUCUUGGUGUAGCGGUGAAAUGCGUAGAUAUCAAGAGGAACACCUGAGGCGAAGGCGGGUUGCUGGGCCGACACUGACGCUGAUGCGCGAAAGCCAGGGGAGCAAACG